UUUUUAAUUUCAGAUUCAUAAUUUUGAAUUAAAAAAAAAAAGGAGAAAAGAAACGAAAGAUGAGUUUUGUCCUAAUUUGGCAAUAGUGAGUUGAUAAUUGAUGCUUGUUAUAAGUGGUUUUGAUGUAUGAGAGAACAAGUCGAACUCUUAACUCCUACAAAAGAAAAAAAAAUGGAAUUUUUAAACUUUGAAAUUUUGAUCUUUAUUAUUAUUUUUUAAUGCGUUCUAAUUAUUUCAUAUUAACUGUGUUCAUAUUAUUUCACAUCAAUAAUAAGGUAAGAAAAUUCUUUUAAAAAAUAAAAGUUUAUGUGAUUGAUUUUAUAUAUGUUAAUGUUGGAUAUAGCUCUUGAGGAAUCAUCCCAAUUUAAAGUUGUUGGGUUUCUUUUUUUUUUUUGGGUUACUGGGAAAUUGGGUAAAAGGAAAUAAAUAGAAAUUUGGGCUUGAAGUGAUCGCAGUUAUGCAUAUUGUUUUUAUGUUUUAUGUAUACAUGUGUAUUGGUGCCUAUUCUUGGAAGGCAGCGCCGUCUUGAACCUCAUGCUGUUUUAUCUUGAAGUUUUCAUUAACAGACUUCAUAUGAGCAGUCUCGUGAGCGCCUUCGUAAAGAACUUGACGGAUGCUGGUUUGAUUAUAUCCUGGAUACUCUCAGAAACAGGCUGAAUUAGUAGCUCUAAUGUAUAAGAAAACCAAGACUUGUUAGAGUACGUGGCGCUGGUGGACGCUUAACUUUUGGAGCAACGGGUGAAGCUGAAGUCGUUAGUGCCUGAGGGUUUCAAUUCCAAGUUGCAAAGGCUUCUGGGGUAUAGGUUAUUGUGUGCAUUGGUGGGGUUGCUCAAAACCUUUUGGUUUUGAAGGGCCAAUGCUUGGCUAAUCCAUUUAGUGGCUGUCUUCGCUUCAAAUUGUUUACUAAGAUGGUUGGAGAGUUGCUAUUUCCUUAAGUUUCUUUACAUUUUGUCUUCGCUUCAAAUUAUUUAUACGUAUAUUAUUAUUAUUCAAUGUUUACUAUAUUAUGUUGUCAACUGAUUAGAUUAAUACUUAGGAUCUUGGAAAAAAUCUUUAAAGAUGUUCAUUUCAAUCCAAAUACAAAUAUGUGGAUUCACCAUAAAGAUAAAGCGACAUAUAAAAUAUUCUCAAAGUGCAAGAGGAACAUUGUCAAGAUCUUAAUGCAAUUCCCCUUACACAAGAGAAGAUCUCAAACUUGGUUUUUAAGAAGAAAUCCGGUAUUGUAAAAGAACUUGGCAUGAGACCUUCCUCUUCUCUAGUAACCACCGUCUUAUCUAAUUCCUCAGUGGAGAAUAUUCAAUGGCUAGAAAAUGAGAUAAUUGAACUCAAAGAGGCAAGAGCUAGGGACCAAAAGGAGCGAGUUAGGGACCAAGAGGUACGAGCUAAGCAAGAAGAGGUUCAAAUGAAUAUUCUUAACUUUUUGAGGAGUAAGGGUUAUGAUGACGCUCUUACCUAUGGGGGUGAUUCAACUUCAAGUUAAAACACCUUUUGAUUUCUUAUUGGUGGUUUUUAGGAGAUUUACUUUUGGCAU